GCCUACGAUCAUACUACGUUGAAAGCACCGCAUCCCAUCAGAGCUGCGAAGUUAAGGGACGUUAGGCUGAGCUAGCACUACGGUUGCAGGCAACAUGGGAACAUUCAGUGUGGUUGGGC
rfam:Trichuris trichiura, WGS project CBXK01000000 data, contig: TTRE_1201